GACAACUGACAGGCACCGCCAAUUCUGGUCAGGAUUCAUCGAUCUCUACCAUGAGAAAGAGUGCCUGUGGCGUGUCAGAAGUCCAGACUAUGCCAACAGAACAAAGAGGAAUCGGGCAUAUCAACAGCUCAUCCAGUACAGUAGAGGCAGAAACUCUGUUGCCGAUGUGCAGAAGAAAAUAGCAAAUUUCCAAACAGUCUUUGUAAAUGAACACAAGAAGGUGCAGGAAUCGCAGCGAUCCGGAGCCGGGACAGAUGAGGUCUAUAGGUCGACGCUGUGAUACUAUGACCAACUGAAGUUUAUUUUGGAGCAAGAGCCGCAGGUAAGGUCACGGCACGCUCUGGAUCCAGAGUCUCCAGUUCUUGUGGAAGAAGAGGCCCAGGAGAGUCUGGAUCUGUAACUUACCCCGGAGCCUACCACAGGCCAAGGGGCAGACAUGGAGGAGCCGGUACUGGAGCCGGUGGCAACCCCACAGUCGCAUCCAGCAAGAACAAGGCGCAUGAUUCAUCAUCAUCAUCAUCAUCAUCAUAUAUAAGGCUUCAUAAAGAAGACCUCAUGAACCCUCCAUAUAGUCAAGAUAAGGACUGAAACAGGAGCGGCGCAAUACCUACUUACCCAUUCUAUUUCUGUUUUGUACUGUUCAAUAUUAAGUUUGGUGACUUCUGUUGGGUUUGCUCUUGUGGCCAUCUGGUUGCGCCUAGAAUAGUUAUAUUUGUCUUUUGAACUUGCUAGACUACUUAGGCUGGGUACACAUCACCACGAAGUGACAGCGAACCCACCGUUGUGCUAACUUUACCAGAUCUACGAUCAGUUUCUCAGACAUGCGGCGGGACGCCCAGCACAGGGCUAAUCCGCCCCGCAUGUUUGGCCCUACCCCCCCGCAAGGGUGCCAAAGCGCAAUGCUAUUGCACCCGCUGAGUAGCUCCCUGCCAGAGCAGCUCCUGCGUGCUGGCUGGGAGCUAACCGCCGUGUCUCGGGUCGCAACAGCUGUGUGUGAAGUCACGCAGCUGCCACGGUCCGGACACGCCUCAGUUGUCCAGACCACGCCCCGCUAACAGCAUUCUAACGCGGUUAGCAUGCCCCCUCCUGCCCCUGCCUGUCAUUCAGGCAGAGGCGAUUGCAGCCCUGAGAUGCUUUAAGCAUCUCACUGGGCUCCCGGGUGCAUGUGCACCAUCCACAUAGGGAUUCAGACUGCGAUCGCUGCCGCGAUCCAGUCUGAAUUAGGCCCACAGAUUCAAGUAUACACACUUACAGAUUGUUCACUCGAUGUGCCAGUCAGGACACCCAGCUGGGCGGGCAUUUGAAUUAGCCCGCCCAGCUGUGACAUAAGCACCCUGCAGCAAGUGUACGGGUGGCAGCCAGACUGUCCGUACACACAGUCAGAUGCGCAGAUAUAUUGGGCAUCAGCUGUGCUGCACGGCCAACCUGAUAUGUCUGCGAACAAAGUCGUUCACUGACAUAUCGGAUGUACACACCCGCCAAUGUGCUCGCGAUUUAUAGGCCAUCCGAUUAAUUGGAUGUUACAUCACCCAUUGUGUACCCAGUUUUACAGUCUGAUGUCACAAUUACCUUUUUAUUUCAAAUUGGUGAAAUGUCACUGAAUUAAUAAAGGAAACUUUGUAUUCUUUUGACCCUUUAUUGACAUGGUUAAAAAAUGUGCUUUUUG